GUGGACCUGAUUUACAGAUAGAAGGAUGCUUUUGAAUUCAUGUUAUUGUGUUUGACAGCUUCUAGCUUCCCUGGGCAUUAGUAAUAGAAAGCCAUUGACAAGAGACAUUCAACAGCAAAACAGUAAGCUGGCCAAUAAAGUAGACAUAAUUGCACUAAAUCUUUUUUUUUUUUUUUUUUUUUUUUUUUUCAGAUCAAGAAUCUUUCCUGAGGAUGGGCUUUCAGCUCCUGAAGAUGGUGAGCAGGAAUCUUUCUAGUUGUUGCUGAUCCUUGCUGCCUCAUCAGCAAAACUGGUAUUUCUGGACUGGUAAAACUAGACAAGAGGAAAUGACCUUAAGUUGUGCCAGUUGGAUAUUGGGAAAAAUUUCUUCACUGAAAAGUUUGUGAAGUACUGGAACAGCCUGCCCAGGGAAGUAGUUGAGACACCAUCCCUUGAGAUCUUCAAAAAACAUGUAGAUAUAGAGCUUAGUGACAUGGUUUAGUGG
rnacentral:lncRNA from 1 species